rnacentral:rRNA from 1 species
CCAGAUCGUCAGCUAAGGUCCCUAAAUGUAAGUUAAGUGGUAAAGGAUGUGGGAUUGCACAGACAACCAGGAUGUUGGCUUAGAAGCAGCCACUCAUUCAAAGAGUGCGUAAUAGCUCACUGGUCGAGUGAUCCUGCGCCGAAGAUUUCCGGGGCUAAAACUUACUACCGAAGCUACGGCAUCAGUAAUGAUGGGUAGGGGAGCUUCCCAUACGGGUUGAAGCAUGACCGUAAGGACAUGUGGACAGUAUGGGAGUGAGAAUGUUGGCAUGAGUAGCGAGAUGUGGGUGAGAAUCCCACAGGCCGUAAACCCAAGGUUUCCAGGGGAAGGUUCGUCCGCCCUGGGUUAGUCGGGACCUAAGCUGAGGCCGAAAGGCGUAGGUGAUGGACAACAGGUUGAUAUUCCUGUACUACCGAUAACCGUUUGAGAGAAGGGAUGACACAGUAGGAUAAGCUAAGCACACUGUUGGUUAUGUGUGCCCAAGCAUUGAGGCAGUCAAAGUAGGUAAAUCCGCUUUGAUAAUGCUGGGAUGUGAUGGGGAGCGAAAUUUAGUAGCGAAGUAGCUGAUUUCACACUGUCAAGAAAAGUCUCUAUCGAGGUUAAAGGUACCCGUACCGCAAACCGACACAGGUGGGUGAGGAGAGUAUCCUAAGGCCAGCGAGAGAACUGUUGUUAAGGAACUCGGCAAAAUGACCCCGUAACUUAGGGAUAAGGGGUGCCACCAUCAGGUGGCCGCAGAGAAUAGGCCCAAGCGACUGUUUACCAAAAACAUAGGUUUCUGCUAAGUCGCAAGACGAUGUAUAGGAGCUGACGCCUGCCCGGUGCUGGAAGGUUAAGGGGAUCUGUUAGAGCAAUCGAAGCAGUGAACUUAAGCCCCAGUAAACGGCGGCCGUAACUAUAACGGUCCUAAGGUAGCGAAAUUCCUUGUCGGGUAAGUUCCGACCCGCACGAAAGGCGUAACGAUUUGGGCACUGUCUCAACAACAGACUCGGUGAAAUUGUAAUUCCGGUGAAGAUGCCGGAUACCUGCGACAGGACGGAAAGACCCCAUGGAGCUUUACUGUAGCUUGACAUUGGGUCUUGGUACUACAUGUACAGGAUAGGUGGGAGGCUUUGAAACCAGGACGCCAGUUUUGGCGGAGCCAUCCUUGGGAUACCACCCUUGUAGUACUGGGACUCUAACCAUAGGCCAUGAAUCUGGUCUUGGGACACUGUCAGGUGGGCAGUUUGACUGGGGCGGUCGCCUCCCAAAAGGUAACGGAGGCGCUCAAAGGUUCUCUCAGUACGGUCGGAAAUCGUACGUAGAGUGUAAAGGCAAAAGAGAGCUUGAUUGCAAGACAUACAGGUCGAGCAAGGAUGAAAAUCGGACUUAGUGAUCCGGUGGUUCUGCGUGGAAGGGCCAUCGCUCAACGGAUAAAAGCUACCCUGGGGAUAACAGGCUUAUCUCCCCCAAGAGUCCACAUCGACGGGGAGGUUUGGCACCUCGAUGUCGGCUCAUCACAUCCUGGGGCUGUAGUAGGUCCCAAGGGUUGGGCUGUUCGCCCAUUAAAGUGGUACGCGAGCUGGGUUCAGAACGUCGUGAGACAGUUCGGUCCCUAUCCGUCGCAGGCGUAGGAAAUUUGAGAAGACCUGUCCUUAGUACGAGAGGACCGGGAUGGACGUACCUCUGGUGUACCAGUUGUUCUGCCAAGGGCAUGGCUGGGUAGCUAUGUACGGAAUGGAUAAGCGCUGAAAGCAUCUAAGCGCGAAGCCAACUUCAAGAUAAGAUUUCCCACCGCAAGGGUAAGACCCCAGAAAGACUAUCUGGUUGAUAGGUCGAAGGUGUAAGUGCAGCAAUGUAUUUAGCUUAUCGAUACUAAUAGGUCGAGGACUUGACCAA